rnacentral:rRNA from 1 species
AAUGAACGUUGGCGACGUGGAUUAGGCAUGCAAGUCGUACGGACCGUGGUAGCAAUAUUACGGUUAGUGGCCCAAGGGAGAGUAAUACGUAGGUAUUUACCCUGGGGUCUGGGAUAGCGGCGGGAAACUGCCGGUAAUACCAGAUGAUAUCUCCGGAUCAAAGGUGUGAUUCCGCCCUAGGAGAAGCCUGCGGUCUAUCAGCUAGUUGGUAGGGUAACGGCCUACCAAGGCAAAGACGGAUAUGGGGCGUGAGAGCGUGCCCCCACUCACUGGGACUGAGACACUGCCCAGACACCUACGGGUGGCUGCAGUCGAGAAUCUUCGGCAAUGGGCGCAAGCCUGACCGAGCGACGCCGCGUGCGGGAUGAAGGCCUUCGGGUUGUAAACCGCUGUCGAAGGGGAGGAAAUUGUAGUGGGUUCACCCAUUAUAUUGACCGAUCCUUGGAGGAAGGGCCGGCUAAUCUCGUGCCAGCCGCCGCGGUAA